GACGUACGCUGGCGGCGUGCUUAACACAUGCAAGUCGAACGGAAAGGCCCUGCUUUUGUGGGGUGCUCGAGUGGCGAACGGGUGAGUAACACGUGAGUAACCUGCCCUUGACUUUGGGAUAACUUCAGGAAACUGGGGCUAAUACCGGAUAGGAGCUCCUGCUGCAUGGUGGGGGUUGGAAAGUUUCGGCGGUUGGGGAUGGACUUGCGGCUUAUCAGCUUGUUGGUGGGGUAGUGGCUUACCAAGGCUUUGACGGGUAGCCGGCCUGAGAGGGUGACCGGCCACAUUGGGACUGAGAUACGGCCCAGACUCCUACGGGAGGCAGCAGUGGGGAAUAUUGCACAAUGGGCGGAAGCCUGAUGCAGCAACGCCGCGUGCGGGAUGACGGCCUUCGGGUUGUAAACCGCUUUCGCCUGUGACGAAGCGUGAGUGACGGUAAUGGGUAAAGAAGCACCGGCUAACUACGUG
rnacentral:rRNA from 1 species